UACGAAGGGGGCUAGCGUUGCUCGGAAUUACUGGGCGUAAAGGGCGUGUAGGCGGGAAGGAAAGUCGGGCGUGAAAUCCCUGGGCUCAACCCAGGAACUGCAUCCGAUACUGGCGGGCUUGAAUCCGGGAGAGGGAUGUGGAAUUCCAGGUGUAGCGGUGAAAUGCGUAGAUAUCUGGAGGAACACCGGUGGCGAAGGCGGCAUCCUGGACCGGUAUUGACGCUGAGGCGCGAAAGCUAGGGGAGCAAACGGGG
rnacentral:rRNA from 1 species